rnacentral:tRNA from 1 species
GGGCCCUUAGCUCAGUGGUCAGAGCGCCCUGCUCAUAACGGGGUGGUCGAGGGUUCGAACCCCUCAGGGCCCA